UGGGGGAUAUUGCACAAUGGGCGAAAGCCUGAUGCAGCAACGCCGCGUGAGGGAAGACGGUUUUCGGAUUGUAAACCUCUGUCUUCGGUGAAGAAAAAAAUGACGGUAGCCGAGGAGGAAGCCCCGGCUAACUACGUGCCAGCAGCCGCGGUAAUACGUAGGGGGCAAGCGUUGUCCGGAAUUACUGGGCGUAAAGGGUGCGUAGGCGGUUUGGUAAGUUAGAUGUGAAAUCCCCGGGCUUAACUCGGGAGUUACAUUUAAAACUGCUGAACUAGAGUGCAGGAGAGGAAAGCGGAAUUCCUAGCGUAGCGGUGAAAUGCGUAGAUAUUAGGAGGAACACCAGUGGCGAAGGCGGCUUUCUGGACUGUAACUGACGCUGAGGCACGAAAGCGUGGGGAGCGAACA
rnacentral:rRNA from 1 species